GCCUGGUGGCUCAGUCGGUUGAGCAACUGACUUUGGCUUAGGUCAUGAUCUCACGGUUUGUGAGUUCGAGCCCCACAUCAGGCU
rnacentral:tRNA from 1 species